ACUUUUCUCCAACUGCAACUCCGUGGGUUGCUGUGGGUGGUGCUACUUCUGUAAUACUUUCUCUUACACGGUCAUGUGUUUGUGUUAGUGCAUUAAAAUGCCGGAUUUGCUUAAUGAGUGCCUGGUGAUAAUACAGCCACAGAAUGAGAGGGCUCUUAUUCCAUUUGCUUCUGCAGAUCACAGGUCCACUCCACAGGCAGGAAAAGUCAACAGGGUUUCCUACUAGACAGGAGGAGGAGGUCAACCCCAAGGGAAGCCAUGCCACAGUGAUUCCUGAAAUGGGACCAAUCCCGGUUGGUGACCAGCCCUGAAGGUGAGACACCUGCAGAAGCUGAGGAGUGUGGCACACCUGCUGGCCCUUCCUGAUAGAGCCACAUGGGACUCAGCCUGGAGCAGCCUCUGGCUACAGCAUCCUUUCAAUAUAAAAUACCAAUGGGGAAGAAAUGGGAGGAUGAAGAUGGCUGAGAAUGUGAAGAAGUUGAAGGAGAAGAAGCAUGCCGGUUUCUACGUGGAAGGAGAGCCUGGACUCCAUCAAAGGCAUUCAUUUGGGAAAGAGGAAAGCAUAGCAAGACAUCUCCUGCUUCCUCCUCCAGCUUCCCCAACUCAAUAACGGCUGCUACAUGGCAGCCUGCCCUCAAGUGGAGCAAGUGGUGAACCUUUUAUAAGGCGUCCUUGCCUUCUGAAUCCAGAAGAUGGUGCCAGAAAUGAGUGCGACUGCGCAUGAUGUUAGAUACAAUAGACAAUAAAUGCCAAAUGACCAAAGUCACAGGUUUACAGAGCUCUCCUCCAGAAGCACAUGUAAUGAAUGAAGACACGCUGUUAGACAUGCUGAUUCACUGGGACACGUGAGUUCGAAAAUGUAUCUAGCAGGAGCCGUUCCAGGCAUAUGCAACAGUGGAUGAGAACAGCGGCUUUCCCUGGGAAAAUGAGUGUGCCCCACACUGCAGUCUGCACUGGCUCUAAGUCACAUGCUCAGUAAGCUACUGCUUAAGGCAGACUCAGCUGGAAACUCUUCCCCUGGCAGCCAGGAGGGCGGUGGCUUCUGCACUGCAGUCCCACCUGCUGGGUCCUUACUCUGGGUCUUUGCCUUCUCCUCCCCCUGAGAUCCAGUGCUGCUCUUCCUGAGGUGACAAGGGGACUACCGUGUACCACAGGGCUCCCAGAGAGUAGUAACCACCCAGGCCAUUGC
ensembl:antisense Gm16152 predicted gene 16152